UCGCGGCUUAUCACCGGCAGUCCCCUUAGAGUGCUCAACUAAAUGGUAGCAACUAAGGGCGAGGGUUGCGCUCGUUGCGGGACUUAACCCAACAUCUCACGACACGAGCUGACGACAGCCAUGCAGCACCUGUGUACUGGUUCUCUUUCGAGCACUCCCCAAUCUCUCAGGGAUUCCAGCCAUGUCAAGGGUAGGUAAGGUUUUUCGCGUUGCAUCGAAUUAAUCCACAUCAUCCACCGCUUGUGCGGGUCCCCGUCAAUUCCUUUGAGUUUUAAUCUUGCGACCGUACUCCCCAGGCGGCCAACUUCACGCGUUAGCCACGGUACUAAAGAAGUCUCCUUCUCCAACACCUAGUUGGCAUCGUUUAGGGCGUGGACUAC
rnacentral:misc_RNA from 1 species